rnacentral:rRNA from 1 species
UAACGCGUGGGUAACCUAGCCUAUACAGGGGGAUAACAGUCAGAAAUGGCUGCUAAUACCGCAUAAGCGCACAGAGCUGCAUGGCUCAGUGUGAAAAACUCCGGUGGUAUAAGAUGGACCCGCGUUGGAUUAGCUGGUUGGUGGGGUAACGGCCCACCAAGGCGACGAUCCAUAGCCGGCCUGAGAGGGUGAACGGCCACAUUGGGACUGAGACACGGCCCAG